rnacentral:rRNA from 1 species
UAGUCCACGCCGUAAACGAUGAUCACUCGAUAUUGGCGAUAAAAUGUCAGUGUCUAAGAGAAAUUGAUAAGUGAACCACCUGGGGAGUACGUUCGCAAGAAUGAAACUCAAAGGAAUUGACGGGGGCCCGCACAAGCGGUGGAGCAUGUGGUUUAAUUCGAUGAUACGCGAGGAACCUUACCAAGGCUUAAAUGCAGUUUGACAAGCAUAGAAAUAUGCCUUUCUUCGGACAAAUUGCAAGGUGCUGCAUGGUUGUCGUCAGCUCGUGCCGUGAGGUGUUAGGUUAAGUCCUGCAACGAGCGCAACCCCUAUCAUUAGUUGCCAGCGUUUAAAGACGGGGACUCUAAUGAGACUGCCAACGUAAGUUGAGAGGAAGGUGGGGACGACGUCAAAUCAUCACGGCCCUUACGUCUUGGGCUACACACGUGCUACAAUGGUGAGUACAGAGAGCUGCCACUACGCGAGUAGGAGCGAAUCUUAAAAACUCAUCUCAGUUCGGAUCGG